CAGCCGUAAACUAUGCGCGUUAGGUGUAUCGGUGACCACGAGUUACCGAGGUGCCGAAGGGAAACCGUGAAACGUGCCGCCUGGGAAGUACGGUCGCAAGGCUGAAACUUAAAGGAAUUGGCGGGGGAGCACCACAACAGGUGGAGCCUGCGGUUUGAUUGGACUCAACGCCGGGAAGCUCACCGGAUAGGACAGCAGAAUGAUUGCCGGGCUGAAGACCCUGCAUGACUAGCUGAGAGGUGGUGCAUGGCGUCAGUGACU
rnacentral:rRNA from 1 species